UGGGGAAUUUUGGACAAUGGGCGCGAGCCUGAUCCAGCAAUGCCGCGUGCAGGAUGAAGGCCUUCGGGUUGUAAACUGCUUUUGUACGGAGCGAAAAGGUCUGCCCUAAUACGGUGGGCUCAUGACGGUACCGUAAGAAUAAGCACCGGCUAACUACGUGCCAGCAGCCGCGGUAAUACGUAGGGUGCGAGCGUUAAUCGGAAUUACUGGGCGUAAAGCGUGCGCAGGCGGUUAUAUAAGACAGAGGUGAAAUCCCCGGGCUCAACCUGGGAACUGCCUUUGUGACUGCAUAGCUAGAGUACGGUAGAGGGGGAUGGAAUUCCGCGUGUAGCAGUGAAAUGCGUAGAUAUGCGGAGGAACACCGAUGGCGAAGGCAAUCCCCUGGACCUGUACUGACGCUCAUGCUCGAAAGCGUGGGGAGCAAACA
rnacentral:rRNA from 1 species